AGUGGAUGGGGAGCAACCUAGUUGUGCGUGUGUAAAGGUAGUGCCAAGAAAAGCGGUGAUCAUGAUGAAAAUCAAUUCCCGGUACCCGAAACCGACACAGGUGGGCAAGUAGAGAAUACUAAGGGGCGCGAGGUAACUCUCUCCAAGGAACUCGGCAAAAUGACCCCGUAACUUAGGGAGAAGGGGUGCCACCGAGAGGUGGUCGCGGUGAAGAGGCCCAGGCGACUGUUUAGCAAAAACAUAGGUCUCUGCAAACUCGAAAGAGGAGGUAUAGGGGCUGACGCCUGCCCAGUGCCGGAAGGUUAAAGAAGUUGGUCAGUCUUAGGAUGAAGCUAGCGACUGAAGCCCCGGUGAACGGCGGCCGUAACUAUAACGGUCCUAAGGUAGCGAAAUUCCUUGUCGGGUAAGUUCCGACCCGCACGAAAGGCGUAACGAUCUGGGCGCUGUCUCGGAGAGAGGCUCGGCGGAAUAGGAUUGUCUGUGAAGAUACGGACUACCUGCAUUUGGACAGAAAGACCCUAUGAAGCUUUACUAUAGCUUGGAAUUGUGUUCGGGCUUCCUGUGCGCAGGAUAGGUGGGAGGCGUAGAAGGUAUUCUUGUGGGGAUACUGGAGCCAACGGUGAGAUACCACUCUCAGGAGGCUAGAAUUCUAACUUAAUUAAGGACAGUUUCAGGUGGGUAGUUUGACUGGGGCGGUCGCCUCCAAAAAGGUAACGGAGGCGUACAAAGGUUCCCUCAGACUGGUUGGAAAUCAGUCGAAGAGUGCAAAGGCAGAAGGGAGCUUGACUGCGAGAAGUACAGUUCGAGCAGGGUGGAAACACGGUCUAGUGAUCCGACGGUGCUGUGUGGAAGGGCCGUCGCUCAACGGAUAAAGGUUACUCUAGGAUAACAGGCUGAUCUCCCCCAAGAGUUCACAUCGACGGGGAGGUUUGGCACCUCGAUGUCGGCUCAUCGCAACCUGGGGCGGAAGUACGUCCCAAGGGUUGGGCUGUUCGCCCAUUAAAGCGGUACGUGAGCUGGGUUCAGAACGUCGUGAGACAGUUCGGUCCAUAUCCGAUGUAGGCGUGAGAAUAUUGAGAGGAGCCUUCCUUAGUACGAGAGGACCGGGAAGGACGCACCGCUGGUGUACCUGUUAUGAUGCCAAUUGUAAACGCAGGGUAGCCAAGUGCGGAGAGGAUAACCGCUGAAAGCAUCUAAGUGGGAAGCCCACCUCAAGAUGAGUAUUCUGGUGUAAGGUCACGGGAAGACGACCCGUAAAUAGGCACGAGGUGGAAGUGCAGAGAUGUAUGAAGCCGAAGUGUACUAAUAGACCGUCGGCUUGACCAA
rnacentral:rRNA from 1 species